GGACGUAAGUCAGCUGGCAGAGCACAGCUGCAUCCCAGAGGCUCAGGAGCAGUCAGGAGCCUCUCUCAGACGCUCGGCCCAGGAAAGCCGUCGCCAGGCCCCCUGGCACCUGCUGGGAAGUUAACCAAGUCCUGGGCUGUUGUCGACCAUGUCUUCUCUUCUGGACUAGUAUCUUAUACCAGGGGGAUGACAUGAUGGCUGGAGCUCCAGCAGCCUGUGAACAGAGGGCGACAAAUCCCUACCAGGGAGAGCCAUGAGGAGGAAUGGGGGGACCCGGGGUCUCUGAGAAGCCGCCAAUGUCAGUCUUAGAUCACCCUCCACUGGAUUUUUUGCAAAAGAGGAAUAUACCUCCCUAUCUUCUUUAAGCUGCCACAGCCAGCUGUCCCUCCAUGUGACCGUCAGCCCUGAGGUCCCCGCCACAUCCCGUCUUCGAGGCCAUAAGGAUUUUCCAAGGCUGCUGAUGUCACCAUUCGUCCUGAGCCUAUCUUCGCCACAUGAAGAAAAACCUCUGGCGACUCUCCAUACCUCUGUGUCGUGGUCCCAACUGCAAGGCUGCCUUCAGGGAAUCUUUCCAGAAGUUCUGAGCAGCCUCAUCUGUAAGCCUAGUCUGCUCUGCCUUCAGGUCAUAGUCACAGCUGGGAUUUGCCCCCAAACCCUACUCCAACCUGGGGCUCAGCCUGGGGACAGCGGUGUGCAGGUCCCCCACUGGUGGCCCAUCCUGGGCCCUCUUCCUGACUCUCUCCAGCUCAGGACCUCUCUCUAGUCAGCCAAGCACAAGCGGAAGCAGGAGAACACACUUCUGCUGAAUCACACACUGUUCUAAACCCUUCUGCCUGUCGUACGCCUUGAUCAUAGCUUUUGAAAUGAAAGCAGCAAUUCUCAGCCUUGAUGCAUGUUAAAACCACUCGGGGAUUAAAAAUACUUAGUGUCCAGGGGGCACCUGAGUGGCUCAGUCGGUUAAGCCUUUGGCUCAGGUUGUGAUCCCAGGGUGCUGGGAUCGAGCCCCAUGUCGUACUCCCUGUUCAACAAGGAACCUGUUCCUCCCUCUCUCUCCCCUGCUUGUG